rnacentral:rRNA from 1 species
GAUGAACGCUGGCGGCGUGCCUAAUACAUGCAAGUCGAGCGAACAGAUGAGGAGCUUGCUCCUCUGACGUUAGCGGCGGACGGGUGAGUAACACGUGGAUAACCUACCUAUAAGACUGGGAUAACUUCGGGAAACCGGAGCUAAUACCGGAUAAUAUAUUGAACCGCAUGGUUCAAUAGUGAAAGACGGUUUUGCUGUCACUUAUAGAUGGAUCCGCGCCGCAUUAGCUAGUUGGUAAGGUAACGGCUUACCAAGGCAACGAUGCGUAGCCGACCUGAGGGGGUGAUCGGCCACACUGGAACUUAGACACGGUCCAGACUCCUACGGGAGGCAGCAGUAGGGAAUCGUCCGCAAUGGGCGAAAGCCUGACGGAGCAACGCCGCGUGAGUGAUGAAGGUCUUCGGAUCGUAAAACUCUGUUAUUAGGGAAGAACAAAUGUGUAAGUAACUAUGCACGUCUUGACGGUACCUAAUCAGAAAGCCACGGCUAACUACGUG